rnacentral:rRNA from 1 species
UGCCUAAUACAUGCAAGUCGAACGCAUUGUGGUUGAAAUGAUAUGAAGAACUUGUUCAGAUUUGAUUUUCAACAUUGCAAUGAGUGGCGAACGGGUGAGUAACACGUGGGAAACCUACCUCUUAGCAGGGGAUAACAUUUGGAAACAAAUGCUAAUACCGUAUAAUAAUUAAAACCGCAUGGUUUUAGUUUAAAAGAUGGUCUUGCUAUCACUAAGAGAUGGUCCCGCGAUGUAUUAGUUAGUUGGUGCGGUAAUGGCUCACCAAGACAAUGAUACAUAGCCGAGUUGAGAGACUGACCGGCCACAAUGGGACUGAGACACGGCCCAUACUCCUACGGGAGGCAGCAGUAGGGAAUCUUCCACAAUGGACGAAAGUCUGAUGGAGCAACGCCGCGUGUGUGAUGAAGGGUUUCGGCUCGUAAAACACUGUUGUAAGAGAAGAAUGACAUUGAGAGUAACUGUUCAAUGUGUGACGGUAUCUUACCAGAAAGGAACGGCUAAAUACGUG